GGUUGCAGUCGGAAUUAUCUUUUAUCUGUAAUUCGAUUCUCUAACUCUGGGUUUUUUUUUUUUGGUUAGUGGAAAGGCUAAUAUUGUUAGGGCAUGUGGGGACGCCCAAUUCUGCGUGAUUCUUCUUCCAUGCACAAACGGUUGUCAUCGAGGGAGGGCAUGGAUCUACUAGACAGAGAAGGUAAUUCAGAACGUUCACAGAAUGGUAUGGGGCAAGAAGGUACACAACCUUCUUCGAGACUCUCUUUGCCGCAUGUCUGUGUAGCUACCAUUUCUUCAUUCUUAUUUGGUUACCACACUGGAGUUGUUAACGAACCACUUGAAAGCAUUGCUUUAGAUCUUGGGUUUGGUGGGAAUACUUUGGCUGAAGGUCUUGUUGUUAGUAUUUGUUUGGGUGGUGCCUUUGUUGGAUGUCUUCUUAGUGGUUGGAUUUCUGAUGGGAUUGGACGUCGUAGGGCUUUCCAGUUGAGUGCUUUGCCAAUGAUUAUUGGGGCUUCUCUCAGUGCAACAACAAAAAAUUUGGAAGGUAUGCUACUUGGGAGGUUGUUUGUUGGAAUAGGAAUGGGCCUUGGACCACCUGUUGCAUCUCUUUAUGUGACAGAGGUUUCACCUUCUUUCGUGAGGGGUACUUAUGGAAGCUUUAUUCAAAUUGCAACAUGUCUGGGAAUUAUAGGGGCUCUUUUUAUUGGAAUCCUGACAAAGGAGAUUUUGGGUUGGUGGCGUGUGUGUUUCUGGGUUUCUGCCAUUCCUGCUGCAAUACUUGCUGUUGGCAUGGAGUUCUGCGCAGAGAGUCCUCACUGGCUUUAUAAGCAAGGAAAAUGCGUUGAAGCUGAAGCUGAAUUUGAGAGGCUCUUGGGAGGAUCACAUGUCAAAUCUGCGAUGGCGGAGCUAUAUCGGUCAGACAGAGGGGAUGACAUGGAAAGUGUACGGUUUUCAGAUCUAAUUUAUGGUCGCAAUUUCAGAGUUGUUUUUAUUGGAUCAACACUAUUUGCUUUACAGCAGUUAUCUGGUAUAAAUGCUGUAUUCUAUUUCUCUUCGGCCGUCUUUAAAAGUGCCGGAGUACCUCCAGAUGUGGCAAACAUGUGUGUAGGAUUUGCAAAUUUAUUGGGAUCAUUUGUUGCGAUGCUUUUGAUGGAUAAACUAGGAAGGAGGGUACUUCUUCUGGGGAGCUUCAUGGGCAUGGCGGUAUCAAUGGGCCUGCAGGUCACUGCAGCAACUCUUCAUAAUCAAGCCUCUGAAGCUUUGUAUCUGUCUGUUGGUGGAAUGUUAUUGUUUGUCCUGACAUUUGCACUGGGAGCUGGUCCAGUCCCUGGCCUUCUCUUACCAGAAAUUUUUCCCAGCCGGAUUCGAGCGAAAGCUAUGGCAAUCUGCAUGUGCGUGCAUUGGGUGGUGAAUUUCUUUGUUGGUUUGCUGUUCUUGCGCUUGCUGGAACAACUCGGACCGCAGAUCUUGUACUCGAUAUUUUCUUCCUUUUGCUUGAUGGCAGUGUUCUUUGUGAAAAGGAACAUUGUUGAAACCAAAGGAAAGUCUCUCCAGGAAAUUGAGAUUGCACUUCUACCGUCAGAAUAGAGUUUUUUACCCCCCUCAUGGACAGCUUCAAGUGUUCAGGUUAUAUGCAGCAUCUGGGGAUUCUACGGAACUACAGAUCAUCUGUCCAUCUGUCUGGAGCUGAUGGGGCCAAACUAAAUAUCUUGCCUGUUGUAUGUGAGAAUUGAAGUGUUAUGUUGAUUAGGCAUUUGUUAUCUGAUGCAGCCCACUUGCAUCCUUUUCCAUCAGACUAUCCUUUCACACCAGACUCGGGGUGCAGCUUGGGCGGAUUGGGUCGGGUUGAAGGUUGACCCAAGCUCAACCUAACCACAAGAGGAAGGAAUAAUGACUUCUCAACCCAAACAAAAUUCUGGUUGGGGUGGGUUAAUGCAUAAAAUUAAACAUCUAACCAUCAAAAACACCAUUAAAAUAGCACUUGCAACCAAGACCAUAAUGACCCCCACCCCCCACCAUUACUUGUAUUAGAAGGGCUGUAAUGGCCGUUACGUUCUCUUUUCUUUAUUGAAAAAAAUCUGAAAAAUCUGUAUUGGCCUUGUAAUGGACCAUUAUGGCUGCUACAACAGUGUAAUGUGUAAUGGUUGCCACCCUUACCUUUAUGUAAGGGCGUUUAUGGCCUGUAACUGCUGUUACAGCACACUCUACCUGUAACAACCUAUCGUAAAUCUAUUUUUCCAUUCUGAUUGUGAA